rnacentral:lncRNA from 10 species
CUUUGGUCCGUAAGUAUUAAGAGUUUGUGCCACUCGUUGGGAGACACAGCAUAUAAUACUUUGUUUCUCAGUUAAUUUUAUUGAUAAGUAAUAUCCUUGUCAUCUUAAUUUUUUAAAAAAUUAUAAAUUAUGAGCAGUAUGUUUUUUCAAAAAUCUCAUAGCUAUUACAUAUAUUUUUAUAUUGCCUUCAUUAAAGAAAUGAAAGUGUCAUUUCCAUUUCAUUAAAUACAUCUUGUAUACCCUCUUUAUUUCUAGAUACUUUUUCUUCAUUUUUAUAAGAUUGAAUUGGUACUGACCAUAAUAUUUGAGCAGCAGAAUUUUUAUAGUACAUGAUUAAGUACUAGCUAUAAUUAUUUUUAUUUUCUGGUCUUUUAAUUUCAAAAUUGUAUUGUGGCCAUUCUAAAUUAAUGAAAAUAGGGAAUUGACUAUUUCUUCUCAUUUACAGUGGCAGCUAGACUGUCUUGCUUGCUUGCUGAAGUUAAUAUGCCAGUUUGCAGUAGAUCCAUCCGAUUUGGAUUUAGCUUAUCAUGAUGUCUUUGCCUGGUCUGGUAUAGCGGAAAGCCAUAGGAAAAGAACCUGGCCUGGCAAAUCAAGGAAGGCUGCUGGUGAUCAUGCUAAGGGUCUUCAUAUACCACGAUUAACAGAGGUAUUUCUUGUUCUUGUCCAAGGAACCAGUUUGAUUCAGCGACUUAUGUCUGUUGCUUAUACGUAUGAUAAUCUGGCUCCUAGGUAUGCAUUUUAAGAUAUAUUUUAUGUGUGUAUGUAUAGCAGGAAUAUAAUGUUUUAAAACUUUAUUUUGAAAAAUUCUAAACUUAAUAGAAAAAUUUGGGGGAUAUUAUGAUGAAAUCUCUCAUACCUUCCAUCCAAAUUUACGUAUUAUUAACCUGUUGCUAAAAUGUGUCUUGUAUUUAUGAGUCACGUAUUUUCUGUGUGUUUACAUGUUUUCCUGAAUCUUCUGAGACUGAAUUGCAGAUAUCAUGACUGUUCACCAGUACUUUGUUGUGUAUCUCCUAAGACCAAGGAGAUUUUCUUAAUAGCUAGAGUAAAAUUUUUAAAUUUAUAGAAUUUAACAUUGAUAUGUUAUCUAACAUAUAGUUCAUAUUAAAAUAAUCCUAUUGGUAUUCUUUAUAGCAGUAUUUUUCUUGCUUCAGGAUCAACUAAAUGUAUUGCAUUUAGUUGUCAGUUCUUCUGUUUCUUUUCAUCAGAGAUAACUUUCUCAGCCUUUCUCUCAUGAUACAUUUUCAAGUAAUGCAGGCCAGUUAUUUUAUAGAGUACUUUUCAGUUUGAGUUUUCAUGAUUAGCCUUCAUGAUUAGAUUCAGAUUAUGUAUUUUUUAAAGGAGUCUUAAAGUUUAGACUCUAAAUCAUUAUAACCUAUGUGUUUGUCACACACAUCUCUUUAGUAACUAA